rnacentral:rRNA from 1 species
AUGGAGCUGGCUAUUGCGGCAGAACUACCAAACACAGUACACCGUUGGUGUAAGUGGCACAUUUUGAAGAAGGCGAAGGAGUCGAUGGGUGUGCUCUGGAGCAAGGACAGUAAAUUUAAGAUGGAGUUCCACAAGCUUCUACAUCACAUGAUCACAAAGGAAGAAUUUGAAGCUGGUUGGCAGGACAUGUUGGAAAAUUACAACUUGAGGAAGCAUCCAUUCCUGACGCAGAUAUACGAGGUGCGGCAUAAGUGGGCAAAGCCAUAUUUCAGAGGCGUGUUUUGUGCAAAGAUGACUAGCACACAACGAAGCGAAAGUGCUAACCAUCUGCUGAAGGGUUAUGUUCCACCGGGGUGCCCUAUGCACCUUUUCUUGAAACAAUUCGAAAAGCUUCAGUUUGACAGGGCGUCAGAAGAGAGCUUCCAAGAGAAGAGGAAAUUGCUAAGUGGUGUCUCACUUCGACUAAACCUGCCAAUAGAGAGGCAUGCUAGCAAGGUGUACACCCGAGCCAUGUUCGAGAAAUUUGGUGAAGAACUGUAUAAAUGUGGCGCACAUGUGUUGGAUGAGAUUGUACCGAGAAAGAUUUACAAAUCAACACAUUUAGAUGUGGCGGCAAGAGAAAAAUGGAGUAAGGUAGAGUUCAAGAUUGAAGUGAAUGAUGACAAGAGUUUUUUUAGUUGCGAAUGUGGCACAUUUGAACACUCUGGCUUGGUGUGUUGCCAUGCAUUGCAGGUUAUGGUGUUGUUCCGUUUAUCGAAGAUACCCGAGAAACAUAUAAUGAAACGAUGGACAAGAGAUGCACGAGAUGUUCUUCCAGCACAUUUGGUACGGUACCAAAGAGACAGAGGCCCUCCUUCUAGUGACACAUUCAGGCAUCACACAAUGUACAUGAAGGCGCUUGAAUGUGUGUUGCUUGGUGAUAGUAAUGUUAAGUGCUAUGAUGUUUUCAUGGCUAUGAUGAAGGAGGUGCAAGCCGCUCUCGUGCCGUUAAGCAGUGAUAAGGAUGGCAUGGGACUAGCCGAAAGGGAACAACAAAAUCAGUUGCUUGUUCAGAACGAGCAAGAGGCACUCGAGUUGCAAGGCUGUGCGACAGGGUCUGAGUGUGAUGGUGAAUCAAGUUGUUCAGUGAUUGCAGGACAGCAGAACAAACGGCCGAGGGGUAGACCUACAACAAGCUGUGACAAAGCUCCGUAUGAAGAACAUUUGAAGAGAUCGCGGUUCUGCACGAUCUGCAGGGGUCAGGGCCACAAAUGCACAACUUGCCCAGAGAGAGGCGAUCUGCCCAAGGCGCCAAGGAAAUUGCCAAAGUGUUCAAAUUGUGGUGUGCUUGGACACAGGCGCAAUGCUUGUGGCACCAAGAAAUCUAGGCCGUUCGAGCCCAAUUUUCUGUAA